rnacentral:tRNA from 1 species
CAAAUAAGAGCUUGAGUAAAGCAUUUUAUUUACAUUAAAAAGUUAAUUGUGAGAUUCAAUUUUAUUUGA